AUGAUUGCAGGCAGCAGCCUGCCCAGCCCACCCCCUGCCCUGUGCCUGGCGGAGCUGUGUGGCACUUCCCAGCCCUCCAUGGCGCUCACUGGGGCCACCAGCCGCAGGAGCCAUGGAGCAGGCAGCAGCAGUGUUACCAUCACUGUUUUAACGCAGGGAGCGGGAUGGGGAGACACCACAGACACCCACGGGGCCUGGGGGGCAGAGCCCACAGCAGUGAGGGGGCAGGAGGGGUCUCCCUGGGGAAGUUGGGCUCUGCCUGGAGGCCAGGACCGGGGCUGGCCCCUCCGCCAUGGCCGCAAGGCGGCUUGGCCACCCCCUCAGCCGGGGCCGGAUCCUGCUGCAGGCCGCCCCUCCACCUGGGCUCAGGACAGCGCUGCAGGGAUGCUGCGGUGUGACACUAGGGCUCAGCGGUGGCUGGGACCGGCCACGGUGGGGGGAAGGAUCCAGCACCGCUGGGCUGGGCUCGGUCAUGGCACCACAUGGCCACAGCUGGGGCCGGCAGCGAGGGGGAUCUGGUGGUGGAGGGCACAGGCAGUGGGGAUGAUGGCGAAGCGGGUGCCAGCCCAGCCGGGGGGCUCGGGGCACCACCAAGCUGCCUGCAGCAGCGCUGGCUUAUCAGCAAAGCCAGGCAGGCUGAGGAGCCGCGGCCAUGGCAGGGCGGCAGGGCCACGCACCCUCCGGCAGCAAGGUCUGCAGGACGGCGAUGGUGUCGGUGUGGGUGCGCUCCACCCCUCGCGCAGCCCCAGCAGCCAGGAGCGGCUCUGCAGUGCCCGGCACCAUCCCUGGUGCCUGGUGGAGAUGCCAGCGGCCUCAGGCCAGCACAGCCAGCCCUGGUGCCUGGCCCCGCUCCAGGCGGCUCCGCAUGCCCCACACCAGCUGCACACCGAGCCCAGGUCUCAGCACAGCUGCUCCAGCUCCUUCGCCAGGACAGUGCAGACCUGGCCAACCUCAGCCUGCAGGUCCUGGGCCUCACCGGGGGGCUCCCGCGGGGCUGGGGGCCUCAGCCCAGGGCAGCCCUUCUUGGGGGAGCUCGUCUAG
rnacentral:lncRNA from 1 species